AGAAUACAAUAUUUUUAGUCAUAUAGUAUGUGUUUGGAUCUGCAUCAUCCUGGCUCUUAUGGCUAAGCACCUUUUUGAUCUUAUACCCUCCUGGCAUCACAAGCGAGGUCGGCAUGAUAUAUAUAGCUCUGGCCUACAUCAAGGCCUCUGAAAAAUACUUCAUUAGGAUGCCAAACAAGUGGAACUUCUCUUUCGAUUAUUUCUAUGCAGCUAUCAUUGCUCUUGGAAAUUAUGUGCCAAGUAUGUAUCUGAUAUUUUCACAAUCUGUGUGGUUGUAUUGGUGUUCUCUAAUCCCUAAGAUUGUCUUCUUGUUGGCAGGGAGUGCUCUUGGUAUAGUUGUGAAUGUAUUCCUCUGAAAAAACAGAUUGCCAAUGUUUUAUGAAUUAUUGAUUAAAUGUUUUUGCUUUCAGCUGGGUGCUCA